CCUACGGGGGGCAGCAGUGAGGAAUAUUGGUCAAUGGGCGAGAGCCUGAACCAGCCAAGUCGCGUGAGGGAGUACUGCCCUAUGGGUUGUAAACCUCUUUUGUCGGGGAGCAAAAGCCGGACGUGUCCGGCUGUGAGAGUACCCGAAGAAAAAGCAUCGGCUAACUCCGUGCCAGCAGCCGCGGUAAUACGGAGGAUGCGAGCGUUAUCCGGGUUUAUUGGGGUUAAGGGGUGCGCAGGCGGAUUUUUAAGUCAGCGGUCAAAUCGUGGGGCUCAACCCCAUCCAGCCGUUGAAACUGGGGAUCUAGAGUGUGCGAGAGGUAUGCGGAAUGCGUGGUGUAGCGGUGAAAUGCAUAGAUAUCACGCAGAACCCCGAUUGCGAAGGCAGCAUACCGGUGCACAACUGACGCUCAGGCACGAAAGCGUGGGUAUCGAACAGGAUUAGAUACCCUUGUAGUC
rnacentral:rRNA from 1 species